rnacentral:rRNA from 1 species
GGGGUAACCCGGGCUAGGGAACUCGGCAAAUUAGCCCUGUACCUUCGGAAGAAGGGGUGCCUACUGAGGUCGUAAACCGGCCUCAGUAGGUCGCAGUGACUAGGGGGACCUGACUGUUUAAUAAAAACAUAGGUCCCCGCUAGCCCGAAAGGGUGUGAACGGGGGCUAAAUCCUGGCCACUGGUGGUUGGUGAAACCCCGGUACAACGGGGCGAAGCCCCACUGAAGGCCGGGGGUAACUCUGACCCUCUUAAGGUAGCCAAAUGCCUUGCCGGGUAAGUUCCGGCGCGCAUGAAUGGAUCAACGUGGUCCCCACUGUCCCAGCCUGGGGCCCCGUGAACGCCCAGAGUGGGUUCACAGUCCCGCAACUCCCCACACCGAGAGAAGACCCCGUGGAGCUUCACCGCAGCCUGGCGUUGUCCUGCGGGCGCUUAUGCGUAGAGUAGGUGGGAGGGGUCGAGCCCAUCCUUUCGGGGAUGGGGGACCCGGAAGUGAAACACCACCCAUAAGCGCUCGCGGGACUAACCUACCCGAAAGGGUGGGAACAGCGUCAGGUGGGCGGUUCGGCUGGGGCGGCACUCCCGCGAAAAAGUAACACGGGAGCCCAAAGGUCAGCUCAGGCGGUACAGA